UCCCAUGUUGUCUAGUGGUUAGGAUACCUGGCUCUCACCCAGGAGGCCCGGGUUCAAUUCCAGGUAUGGGAA
rfam:Daphnia pulex DAPPTscaffold_304_Cont8521, whole genome shotgun sequence.